ACUCCUACGGGAGGCAGCAGUGGGGAAUCUUGGACAAUGGGGGCAACCCUGAUCCAGCCAUGCCGCGUGAGUGAUGAAGGCCUUAGGGUCGUAAAGCUCUUUCGCCUGUGAAGAUAAUGACGGUAGCAGGUAAAGAAACCCCGGCUAACUCCGUGCCAGCAGCCGCGGUAAUACGGAGGGGGUUUAGCGUUGUUCGGAAUUUACUGGGCGUAAAGCGCACGUAGGCGGAUCGGAAAGUUGGGGUGAAAUCCCGGGGCUCAACCCCGGAACGGCCUCCAAAACUAUCGGUCUAGAGUUCGAGAGAGGUGAGUGGAAUUCCGAGUGUAGAGGUGAAAUUCGUAGAUAUUCGGAGGAACACCAGUGGCGAAGGCGGCUCACUGGCUCGAUACUGACGCUGAGGUGCGAAAGUGUGGGAGCAAACAGGAUUAGAUACCCUGGUAGGACAGUG
rnacentral:rRNA from 1 species